rnacentral:lncRNA from 1 species
GGCUUAUGACAGAGUCUUCUUCGAGACUCUUCUAUUCUCUCUUCCUUCUCUCUACUUUCUCUCUCUAAAUUUCUUCGAUUAUCUGCAUGUUUUCAUGGUAUCAGAGCCGGUACAAUGAUCCGUUGAUGUUAUCGUGUGAAUCAAUAGUUCAUCUGAACUAUUUUUGACAAAAUUUGGAAUUUUUUCUGAGAUCAAAAAGAUCGAUGAUGGUUUCAACCAUGUUAGGGUUCUUCGGUCCAUU